rnacentral:rRNA from 1 species
AGAGUUUGAUCCUGGCUCAGGAUGAACGCUAGCGACAGGCUUAACACAUGCAAGUCGAGGGGCAGCGGAGGCGAGUGCUUGCACUUGCCAGACGGCGACCGGCGCACGGGUGAGUAACACGUAUGCGACCUGCCCGUAGCAGGGGGAUAAGCGGAAGAAAUUCCGUCUAAUACCGCGUAAUAUCUUUCGGGGGCAUCCCUGAGGGAUUAAAGGAAGCGAUUCCGGCUACGGAUGGGCAUGCGGCGCAUUAGCUAGUCGGCGGGGUAACGGCCCACCGAGGCGACGAUGCGUAGGGGUUCUGAGAGGAAGGUCCCCCACACUGGAACUGAGACACGGUCCAAACUCCUACGGGAGGCAGCAGUGAGGAAUAUUGGUCAAUGGCCGGAAGGCUGAACCAGCCAAGUCGCGUGAGGGAAUAAGGCCCUACGGGUCGUAAACCUCUUUUGCCAGGGAGCAAUGCCGUCCACGUGUGGACGGAAGGAGAGUACCUGGAGAAAAAGCAUCGGCUAACUCCGUGCCAGCAGCCGCGGUAAUACGGAGGAUGCGAGCGUUAUCCGGAUUUAUUGGGUUUAAAGGGUGCGCAGGCGGUCUGUUAAGUCAGCGGUAAAAGCCCGGGGCUCAACCCCGGCGAGCCGUUGAAACUGGCGGACUAGAGAGGAAGAGAAGUAGGCGGAAUGCGCGGUGUAGCGGUGAAAUGCUUAGAUAUCGCGCAGAACUCCGAUUGCGAAGGCAGCCUACCGGCUUCUAUCUGACGCUCAGGCACGAAAGCGUGGGUAUCGAACAAAAUUAGAUACCCUGGUAGUCCACGCAGUAAACGAUGAAUAAACGGCUGUCCGGCCCGACUGGGGGGUUGGGUGGGCGAGGCGAAAACGAUAAGCAUUCCACAUGGGGGAGUACCCCCGGCAACGGUAAAAAUCAAAGGAAUUGACGGGGGCCCGCACAAGCGGAGGAACAUGUGGUUUAAUUCGAUGAUACGCGAGGAACCUUACCCGGGCUCAAACGGCGGAUGACAGGUGCAGAGACGCACCCUCCUACGGGCAAUCCGCCGAGGUGCUGCAUGGUUGUCGUCAGCUCGUGCCGUGAGGUGUCGGCUUAAGUGCCAUAACGAGCGCAACCCCUGCCGACAGUUGCUAACGGAUAAUGCCGAGGACUCUGUCGGGACUGCCGGCGCAAGCCGUGAGGAAGGCGGGGAUGAUGUCAAAUCAGCACGGCCCUUACGUCCGGGGCGACACACGUGUUACAAUGGCCGGUACAGCGGGAAGCCAGGCGGCGACGCCGAGCGGAACCCGAAAACCGGUCUCAGUUCGGAUCGGAGUCUGCAACCCGACUCCGUGAAGCUGGAUUCGCUAGUAAUCGCGCAUCAGCCAUGGCGCGGUGAAUACGUUCCCGGGCCUUGCACUCACCGCCCGUCA